GGUAGUGCAAAUUGCAAAAUGCUCAAAAGUUAUUUAUAGAAUGCCCAACCUAAUAUUUGUCAAUGAUGCCACUGCUGAAAAACAUUAUAUUGAGUAUGUAAUAAAUUAUACAAAACACUAAAUAAAACACUUUGAAAAUGCAUACAUAAGUAUAUAAAAGCUAAAAUGCAAAAUCAUUAAUAAAUUUACAUAAACAUUUAUUUUGCCAAAAUAUGUUCGCACAGUUCAAUGAAAUUUCAUUUCACACUAAUAUCGUCAAGUAAUUAUAACGCUUUACUUCUGGCAUCCCGCCUUUUCUGAAAUCAACUGUCAAAAAUUCCCUGAUCUCCUUGGCUGUCAAAUAAUCAGGGAACGCGUUUGAGGGAAAAAUGAGAGCCAAUGCGAGAGUCUCGUAUCAUAUUAUCCAUGAUAUUAUCCAUGCUACGGUCGGCAACUGUGGAAGGGAGGAGCGGAAUCGGCUGUUUCUCCUUAAUAAGAAAUAUAUCAUAUACUAUACUCACAGAGAAAUUAGAACGUUCAAUUUGACGACCAGAAAUUGCGGCGAGUGGAAGUAUGCCAAGAAAAUUUGAACAGGUGCGAAAGUGGUCCCCAAUUGAAUAACGUAAUCACAGGUGGCGAGUCAUAGAUCUUUGAGUAUAAUACCGAGACAAAGAGGCAUUUUGAGACAACAGAAUCCAAGCAGCAUGCACCCCGGCUCUCAAGGCUAAUGCCUUCCGUGACGCCUUCAAUGCUGCAUCGACGUAGAAGGAGCCUAUUUUGAAAGUUUUUAGAGAAUUAUUACGAUUGGUUCAAUACUUUUUUUUUAAAUCGACUCAGUCCUAUUACUUUUCGGACAAACCCUGUAUGCAAUUUACCAUUUCAAUAUGUUUUCGAUUAAUACACAGUGUUCAUGUAUAACAAAGAA